GGCUUGGUGGUCUAGUAGUAUGAUUCCUUCUUAGGGUGGCAUCCUAUAUGGAAGCCAUGAGAUGGAGGAGGUCCCGGGUUCAAUUCCCGGCCAAGCCC